UACGUAGGUGGCAAGCGUUGUCCGGAUUUAUUGGGUUUAAAGGGUGCGUAGGCGGCCCUGUAAGUCAGUGCUGAAAUAUCCCGGCUUAACCGGGAGGGUGGCAUUGAUACUGCAGGGCUUGAGUAAAGUUGAGGUUGGCGGAAUUGACGGUGUAGCGGUGAAAUGCUUAGAUAUCGGCAAGAACACCGAUAGUGAAGACGGCUAGCUGAGCUUUAACUGACGCUGAGGCACGAAAGUGUGGGGAGCAAACAGG
rnacentral:rRNA from 1 species